rnacentral:rRNA from 1 species
AACGUACGCUGGCGGCACGCCUAACACAUGCAAGUCGAACGAAGUAGCAAUACUUAGUGGCAGACGGGUGAGUAACAUGUGGGUAUCUGCCCUUUGGCCUGGAAUAACACGAGGAAACUUGUGCUAAUACCGGAUAAGUCUUUACGGAGAAAGCUUUAUGCACCAUUGGAUGAGCCCGCACUUGAUUAGUUUGUUGGUGGGGUAAUGGCCUACCAAGACUGUGAUCAAUAGCUGAUUUGAGAGGAUGAUCAGCCACAUUGGGACUGAGACACGGCCCAAACUCCUACGGGAGGCAGCAGUGGGGAAUCUUGCACAAUGGAGGAAACUCUGAUGCAGCGAUGCCGCGUGAGUGAAGAAGGCCCUUGGGUUGUAAAGCUCUUUCGUCGGGGAAGAAAAUGACUGUACCCGAAUAAGAAGGUCCGGCUAACUUCGUG